ACCGGGCUUGCAGGGCGGAAG
rnacentral:miRNA from 1 species